ACGUAGGGGACAAGCGUUAUCCGGAUUUACUGGGCGUAAAGCGCCCGUAGGCGGCUUGAUAAGUUGGACGUGAAAGCUCCCGGCUUAACUGGGAGAGGCCGUUCAAAACUGACAGGCUAGAGUGAGGAAGAGGAGAGCGGAAUUCCCGGUGUAGUGGUGGAAUGCGUAGAUAUCGGGAGGAACACCGAUGGCGAAGGCAGCCUCCUGGGCCAAUACUGACGCUCAUGCACGAAAGCGUGGGGAGCAAACAGG
rnacentral:rRNA from 1 species